GGUCCUCCCCCAUACAAGAAGCCUCAUGAUUUGAAGAAGGCUUGGAAGGUGAGUGUUCUCACGGCUGUGAUAAAGCACAUGUCACCUGAUAUUUCCAAGAUCCGCAAGCUUGUUCGUCAGUCUAAAUGUUUGCAGGACAAAAUGACUGCCAAGGAGAGUGCUACUUGGCUAGCCAUUAUAAACCAGGAGGAAGCUUUGGCCCGGAGGUUGUAUCCUGAUAGAUGUCCCCCUCCAUCAGCUGUUGGGAGUGGGUCUUUUACAAUCAGCGGUACCAGUGAUUAUGAUGUUGAAGGGGUGGAUGAUGAACAAAAUGUUGAAGUAGAGGAUUGCAAACCUCUUGUUAAUCACUUCAAUAUUGGAACAGCUGGACAAAGAGAGAGGAUGGUACCUCAGAUUAAGGGAGAGCUGAUUGAGACCAACUCAGACUUUGGUCAGAAGAGGAAGCAGCUGGCCGAAGAGCCACAGAUGAUGCUAAAUCAGAAGAUUUACACCUGUGAAUACCCCCAAUGCCCAUAUCAUGAUUGCCGCCUAGGCUUUCUUGACAUAACUGCAAGAAACAAUCACCAGUUGAAUUGUGCAUACCGGGGUAAUUCUUCACAAGUGUUUGGAAUGUCAGGCUUUCAUCUUAACAACGACAAACCUGUGGGCUUCUCUCUACCCAUUACUCAACCUAAGCCAGCUAUUCAACAACCAGUGAACCAGACAAGUAGUUUUAAUGCUUCAGGACUUGGACUAGCCGAGGAUGGGCAGAAAAUGAUAUCUCAACUGAUGUCAUUCUAUGAUAGUAAUGUUCAGCAGAACAAGAACUCAAAUCCUGGAAACCUCAAUGUUGUCGAAGACCACAACCAGCAGCAGGUGAAAUUUCAAUUUCCAAUGGAGGAUAACUUCUAUGGUCAAGGGCUGGUUAUAGGACGCAACAUGUCUGAACCGACCUCCUUGCCUAUGCUUCAUUCAGUUUUCCCAUCCACAGAAAUUCAGUUUGAUCCGUGCAAGUUAUUUGAUUCUCCAUAUGGUAACCAUCCCAAUGAUCCUGUCAACUUAGGUUUUGGCACUCACCUUAACUCAGUCGACUAUAAUGAUGACUCAAUGUUGAAGCAAGAUGCAUUUUGGAUCUGAUGAAUUUGGGUUUUCAUAUAUUGACUGCUCCAAUAUCUGAAUAAGGCUGUAUAUUAUGUUGUUUGGCGGGGGGUUGGGGGUGAAUGAGGAUAUCCCCAUACAGUUCUGGACUGAACAGGUGAAGCUUCUAUUUUUAAGUUUAGCUGCUUAUUAUAUCUGUCGGACCUUUUAGAAGAAGUUGGGGGUUCUCUUGCUGCAACUUCAUCAUCCAAGUAUAGGUUGUCUAGUUGUUCUCAGUGCAGUAUUUGGUAGGGCCAAUAAAGGACUGGAAAGAAGCCAAUCUAAUACAAGUACUUUUGUUGAAAUGUUAGAAACAUUUUCUGGUUGCUAAAGUCAUUGUUGGCAUGUAGUUAUGUAAUGUAUACAGAGACAUCUAUAUAUGUGGUGGUUUCAUGUAUCUUAGAAACAUUUUGCUUGUUUCUCAACUGGUUUUCAGUUUGUGCUAUCAACAAUUCAUUCUUGCUUUCGCAGUUUAUCGGGGGAAAGCUCGAAUAGAAAUAUCAGCACUCUUCUACUUACAUAAGCAAUGCCCUGUUAGGUCUGAUAAAACUUCCAACUACUGAUUUUUUUGCAAAUUAUGUGAUAUAAAUUAGAUAGGAACUUCCUCCCGUCCGGAUGCGCGGCUGAGCUGAAACUGAACCUUGUUGCUUUCAAAUUAACCUGGCCCCUCAAAGCCAAGUGUGCUUUUUUGUUUGGUGAAUAAAUGCCAAGUUUUUCAAGUUUUCCGUGGAUGUUUGUUUAUUUUGUCACAUCUAUCAGAAUGGUCUUACAUGUGAGGAAUGGGGAAAAAAGUCAGAGAGACAGAAAACGGGUCAAAGUUGGGCAAUUGUUUUUGUUUUGGUCGAUGUUAGGCAAGUUCAUUGAAAGUAGUCAUUUUUCACCUAGUAGUGGCAACAGUGAUAAUUGGAGAGCAGUUGCCAUUGUUGACUCUAGUCUCCCUACUUUCGAUUCUUUUUGAAAGUCUAUGUCAAGUCGUGUAAGCAAAGGAGAAAUGUUCGUACCUUUAAUCGAUUGAAAGGAUUGGAUUUAUAAUGAGGAAAACUAAUGAACUGAGAGUCCGUGCGUGCAUAAGUGAUUGCCAAGCAGUUAUUGGACGUGAAUCCUCUAGUGAUGUAAACUAUUCUAUCCCGGCAUCACUACCUUUCUUUUUAUUUCUCUCCUUAUGUACUAAUUUAUGGAAAAAAAGAUACGGAAAUCAUAAUUCAUGGAAAAAGAGAGAUACAGAAAUCAUAAUUCAUGGAAAAAAAGAUACAAAAAGGGCACAUGACACCGAAAUAGGAUAGUGUGUUUCCACAAUGAGACCCACAUCCAUCUACCCUACCAAAACUCUAACAAUGAGAAUCAACAUCAGCCUGGAUAAGAUAGGUUUUGAUGGGAGGGCCCAACAACCUCGUGAGAUAGGUUCUGGUCCCAUAAAACUUCUCCAAAAAUAUUUUUAGAACUUUCAACCGUUUCAAGCUUUCCAAUUUGUUAUAGAUUUUGUGUAUGCUUUUACAUUCUUAAAUCUUUGGGUUUUAAACUAUCUUUUUUAAAAACGUUUUAUACACGUAAAAACAUUUGAAUUUUAAUUUCAAAUACAUAUUUUAGAAAAGUUCUAUGUACCAAUCGUAUUUUGAAAAAUACAUUGGCAAACAGGGUCUAGUCCGUGGACACCUCAGUAGUGUGUAUGAGAAAGAAAAAAAUCGAGGUCCUCUGCAAUUGUCAAUUGUGGUCUUGCCUGCAUUUCAUAUAAACAAAAAAUAAAAAUAAAAAAUUCUAAACUUAUCACUAACGUAUUUGAAACUCUCUCCCCUCUAGUUUGGAUUAUCGCUUGUACUAAAAAAUAGCGUAUUAGAACAUUACAACGCAUAUAGUUAUUAAGUUUUCAAACUUUAAUGGCUAUCUGCUAUACACUCAAUGCAGGGCCAUCAAUGCAGUGAUGAAGGACGACGGACGGUGUCGUGCAAAGGUUUAUUUGGUUGUGAGAUACGGUAAUGGUGUUGAUCAAUCUAGGGAUUUUGGUUAAUCAGAUAAAUUUUGUUUUAAAAAUAAUUAAUCACUCUUUAAUUCAUGUGGGAGAUAUAAUGGAUUUAAAGUUGAUGAUGUGGCGUAUGCCACUUCAUCCGAGAUUCAAAUUUGGUAACUUUAGCAUUAUUGAUUGCAUAAAGUCUGUUUUAGUUAGACUUCUUGCAAACGCCCUAGACCAUUGUGGAAUUGUUAGAAGUCAUGAUUGAACACACAUAUAAUUGUAUGAAUUUUAUAAACUUUAUAAAAGUUCAUUGAUGUCUAGAUUAAAUGCACCUAGACUUUUAUAUUUUUUUAAAAAAUUAAUUUUGAUUAAAUACCUCCACUAAAAGGAAAUGACUCCCUGUGAUUGCAGGAGAUGAGAAAUUAUACAAUAGCAGUAGCUGGCAUUGAUGAUUGGUACCGCCCAACAAAAUUCAGUCAUGUGUACACAAAAGUUGUGUCAUUAGCACCACCAGCGUUGCAUAUUGAACAGAACCCAAAAAAAAGGUCACAGGUAUCCAAUCUAUGACGGGGAUACGUGACCAAAAGCCGAAAGGCCUCACGGCGGUGGCUUUAGACCAUGAUCGCUUCAACACUUCACCAUAGAUUGACAAAUUUGUGUGCAGGGGCAGAGCCACCUGCAGGCCCACAAUGGCCAUCGUCCCCAAUAUUUUAUAAGCCUCCCUCCAAUCAAUGUAAUGAAUUGUACAAACUAAGAGGAAUUUGUAUGUUUUAAGUUAAUGGGCACCCAAUAAAUUAAAUUUGGAUAAUAAUGUGUCUUUUGUCUUUUGUUUUGGGCUUUAAAAGAUAUUUUGGUUUCUUUAAGAUAAAAAUAAGAAAUGAUGGCUACAGUUGGAUAGAUUUAGUUGAAAAAUCUUAGGACUAGAUAACUAGCCAAAUAGGUUGAAAAUAUUUGAUAAAAAAAAAUAAUUGAAAUGACUAUGAGUUUAACAUAUUUCUAAAUAAGUAUUACAAAUUAGUUUUUAAAUUGUUUAAUAAUAUACGUUUCUUUUUUCCUAAAUGCAAUCAAUAGAAUUUUGUUUUUCUUCAAUAUUUUUGGUAUAUGUUAGGGGUGUGUGUCAAUUCAAAAUCAAUGUAAUUUAGUUAAUCCGCAUUCAAUCCAAUAUAGAUUGGACUGUGAUUUUUCCACUCCAAUUUGAUAGGAUCAAAAGUAAAUUCAAUCGAAUUGAUAUUGAAUUGGACUGGUUUUGAUAAUGAAAAAAGACAAUGAUGAAAUAUGAAACAUUUAUCAUUAGGUUUAAUCUAAUCAAGCCAACGGAAUCUAGCCCAAUGGAAAAGGGCAUUGACUUACAGACUAGAGGUCUCAGUUCAAACUCCCAUGGCCUCUUAGCUGUGUGUGUGAGAAAUCCCCCUCCCCUUUUGUUUAGACUAUCACUUGUACUCAAAAUAUAUAUUUUAAAAAAAAGGUUUAAUCUAACCAAACACAUUAAUAUACUUAAAUUUAAAAUAUAAAUGAAAUGCUAGAGGAAAUUAUUUUCAUUAUCUAUAUAUUACAUGGGGCUGGUUAUAUAUUAAGCAUGACUCCAUCAAAUAACUUAAAAUGUUUAUAACCUUUUCAAUUACACAUACCUACACAAGCAAAAUAAGCAUGAAACAAACUAUAUUGGAUUGGAUUCUCACAAAAGAAAUCCGUCAUCUGAUCCAAUCAUAUUGAUUUUUGAAAUUAGGGAUACAAUCCAAUCAGUCAAAUCAUUGAAACCAAUAAAAAUUGAAUUGAAUUGGACUGGAUCAAUCGAUUUUCCGAAUUGAAUUAGAUCUUGCACACCCCUAAUAUAUGUUAAUUUUUUGGCCCCCUAAAAUCUGAAUUCUAGCUCCUCUCCUUGUUGUGUACAUAAUAUUAUUUGAUCAUUACCCAAAAUACAUAGGCUUAAGGCCAUGAUGGGCUAUUGGGAGACACAAGGGGUUGGCUGAGUACCUCACCACCAAUAAGCCAUCAACUUUAUGGGGAAAGAUGAAAUCCCAAUGUCUUGUUGAUGUCUUUGAUUAUUGUACCGUUGAAGUUCAUCUAAUGAAAUUUGUCUUCAAUCAAAACAAAAAAACAAAAAACGAAAGGGAGUGAAAAAAUCAGCUCCCUAUUUUUAACAUUAUAAUCACAACAAUUGUCGUUUUUUAAUUUGUUAGCAAUCGCUUUGACAAAAUAUUGCGGAAAAAAAAAAUAUUUGGGCUAUUUGCGAAGAAUGUAGGAAGCGAAAAGCCUUAAUUGGUCUUAAGCACCACUCUAUAAUUAGUCUUGUCCACCCAAGUAGCCUAACAAAUUUAUAUUUCCACAAAACAGGUGGAUAAUUAAUAGAAAAUUUACCCUCUCUCAGUUUGUUCAUUAGUUGUUUAUUGUUGUUGAUCCCAGAAAAUUAAAAAAAAGUUUCUUGUUAAUUAUAAUCAGUUUGUUUUGCACAUGGUUGUACAAGAGGAGGUAACUAAAUAUAUAUACAUAUGUAUUCUAUAUAUGAAAUUUCGGGAUUAAACUUUAAUAUCCAAUAAUACUAAUUAAAGAAUUCGAUUAGAGGUUCGGUUUGCAGGCCAUGGAGUUCUCACAACCAUGAUCAAGGAUUUCACAAGGGAUGUGUGCCAUUGCUUUGUUUGCAUGUUUGUCACAAGGUUUUAAUUAAUUAUUCUCAACUUCUUUACAAGGUUUUAAUUUUUCUCUAAUUCACCACAAGAUUAUGAUGUUCAAUCCAUGAUGGUUGCAAAUUACUAGGUAAAUUUUGCGUUUCUCUUUACCAAUUUUGUUUUCCAGUUAAUUACCCUAAGAAUUUGAGUCUAAAGAAAAAAAAAUUUUAAUUUAAGUGGAUUUUUUUUUUUUUUGAAUUGAAGUGCUUCAUUCAAUAGCGGCAAAGAAACCACUACAAGGCUACAAAUCAAGAGGGCCCAGCCACAAAGGGAAACAACAUGGUGCCCAAGGUUAAAAACCAACCAAAUUUAACAUGUGCCAAAAGCAAAACACUGCUAGUGCCAGAGAUAAACCAGCUAAAGGAGUUACAUGAGUAGGGACAUAGGCAGAGCCUAACACACAUCCAUUCCUUCCAACAGGAAAUAUGGAGCCAAAUACUUGGACGGCAGAGAAGACCAUCUUUGUUCAGAACAUGGGUCCGAAAAGAUGGGGGUCUAAUGACCCACACUUCCAUGUGCAUCCUUUCCUUCGUUUUCAUUGCCAAAAGAUUGGCUGCUUCAUUGGCUGAACUAGGAAUCCAAGAGCAAUGACAACUAAAAUACUUGGAAAGUUUCUCCUUGAACUUGUUCAGGAUGGAAUACAUCGUCCAAGGCCCUCUCGCAAUAUUACCAUUUAAGCAUUGAGUCACAGACCUUGAAUCCGAUUCUAUAAUUACAUGUCUUUUCCCCAUCUCCUGAGCAAACAUGCUUCCCCAUAGAAGUGCUUAAGCCUCGGCUUGAACUAUUUUUGCGGUGAUGAACUUGCAUUGAGAGUCUCUAAUUAUAAUUCCAAGUCUGACCUUGCCGUUUCUCAGGUUCCACAUAGCAUCCACAUUGAAUUUGACGGUAUUUCCAUAUAAGGGUAACCAGACAGAGGGAGUAGUUUGAUGGUUGUUCAACUUCAGAAUAUUGUUGUGGGUAUGCGCAGUUUGGGCAGUAAGGAAAAUGGUUACAACAAUUGAGGUAGCAUACAUCAUCACUUAUGGGGAUGGUCUUUGGAGCUCAAAUACAACAUUACAUAUGGUUUUCCAUAUGUUCCACCAGAUGAAAGCAAUUUGUGUCAUGACCCAUCUUAAGUAAUCCUUACUUUUUGCAUAGAUAUGGAGAAUAUUGGAGAACCAUUGGCUAAUAUUGGUGACUUCCUGAGGGUUGACUCUGUAAGUUAGGUAGCCACCAAACCGUACACUUUUAACCCAAGGAGAUAGAAGCAAAAGAUGCUCAAAUGUCACCUCAUGCAACUCGCAGAUGGGGCAAAUAUGCUAUUUUCUUAUUCUUCUUUCGUAUAGGUUGUCAUUGGCUGCAAAGCUUUUUCUAAAGAUCCUCCACAUGAAAUUAUUGAUUCUUUGGGUGGGUGGGGGGGGGGGGGGGGGGGUGGUUUGAGAUGGUGAUGUUGAAUCUUCCAUAAGGCUUUCCAGAUGUUCUUCGUAAUUGUGAUGGAGGUUGAGGGAUAUUAAUGGUUCAGUACUUGGUUUUUGUGAUGGUCCCAACGAUAGCCAGAUUUAAUAGUAUAGCUACCACUUUUCUCAUAUGGCCAAAUUAAGCGGUCUAUGUCCUCCCUAUGACCAAUAUCUUUAGAGAUCAUGUGAUGGAUUGAAUCCAACUUCCAGGUACCUAUCUCAUGAUCAAUGAUAGACCCAACUAAGGUGUCAUCCAAAUGGACCAUGCUAUUGUCUCCCUCAAGGGUCCCAGAAAGGCUAGGAAUCGAAAGGUCUUUCCAGAGUUUAGUUUGUGAGCCACUUAAAUUUGCCCUAAAUUUAAUUGGAUAUAAUUUUGAUUAAUCAUAUUGCAGUUCCUGUGAAUACUGCUGAGAGCAAUUUUCAACCAUUGCAAAAUGUAUCCAACACUGAAGAAUUGGAAGUCAAGUGGUCUGACUUCCCUAAAGAUUUUGUAUUUGGAGUCUCUACAUUUGCUACACAAGUGCAUAAUAAUCUGUGAUACUAUUGUUUGUACCAUAAUCAACUGAGCACAUUCGAUACUGGAGGAUUGGAGUGCAUACAAACCUACAACGUGUGGAAGGUAAAACACUUAUGGAAAAUCCCUAAACACUGAUGACGUCAUCAUAACCUCAGCUACCGAAGAGACAUAUUCCUCCGAUGUGGCAAUAACUUGUUGAAGGUGAUUGCUGAAGCUCCAAAUGGUAUAACCUAAGCCUUGGACAUGUAUCAGCACCACAGUGAUUUGCACAAAGUCCCACAUCAAAACUUUGUGCAAAUACUCACAUCCAUUCCUCUAUAAAAUGGGAAUAAUGCCCAAGUAAAAAGGUAACUACUUUUCACCUUUACCAUUACUUAGCCAAAAUUACUGUGCACACUACACUUACUGACUAAGCAUCAGAGAGCCUUCGACAAGUAUCACACCGGUACCUGAAGCUUGACAAUUGAUUCUUAUGUCCCUCUUUUUGUAAGACAACAUUGCGACCAAAGGUUCCCCUGCCGAAGGUCCCCACUUCUCCAUUCCCUGUAGAAGACUCCACACCUCCUCUAUCUAAGGUGAAUCCAGUUGUGGACAUCAACACAUUGGUGCCGUCUGUGGGAACCGACUUCUGAAUCUCACAUCUCUCUUGGCCUUGCUGGCUCUUUCACCCAUCAGACCUCUCCGUCUCUUUAGCCCAUCAUAUUAUAUCAUGCCAAGCGAAGCUAGCCUUGGUACUCAGCACAACACUCCCUAUGUGGUGUAACAUCCCAUAUCGACCAACGGAGAGGAGGUGAUGUGCCUUAUACGUGCAUGCCCACCUCCAUCUAACACGAGGCCUUUUGGGAGCUCACUGGCUUCGAAGUCAUGGGAACUCCGAAGUUAAGCGAGUUGGGGGUUAGAGUAAUCCUAGGAUGGGUGACCCACUAGGAAGUUGCUCGUGAGUUCUCAAAAACAAAACCAUGAGGGCAAAGAGGAGGCCCAAAGUGGACAAUAUCGUGCUACGACGGAGCCGAUCCCGAGAUGUGACAAUUUGGUAUCAGAGCCACUCUAUCGUGUGGUGCGAGUGUGCCGAUGAGGACGUUGGGCUCCUAAGGAGGGUGGAUUGUAACAUCCCACAUCGACCAACUUAGAGGGGGUGAUGUGCUUUAUAUGUACAUGCCCACCUCCAUCUAGCACGAGGCCUUUUGGGAGCUCACUGGCUCCGAAGUCAUGGGAACUCCGAAGUUAAGCGAGUUGGGGGCUAGAGCAAUCCCAGGAUAGAUGACCCACUAGGAAGUUGCUCGUGAGUUCCCAAAAAUAAAAUCGUGAGGGCAAAGAGGGGGGCCCAAAGCAGACAAUGUCGUGCUACGACGGAGCCGAUCCCGGGACGUGACAUGUGGAGUCCUCCAAACGAAGACACUCUACUGAUGCCGAUCUUCUGGCCGAAAUGGCGUGCCUCCGUGUUGAUGUUACCAAAAUCACAGAGAAAGUAUGAUCACUUUCGCACCAAAACGGUGAACUUGAGCACGACUGUCGUACCUUGAAGCACAAUUGAGAGAACAUUCACCAACAGUUAGACCAACAUGAUGUUACCUAGGGUGUUAAGCAUACCGUGCCGACCCAACCAGCCAUCUCCCUUCACAACACUCUAACUCAGCCUCAGCUUGACAAAGGUUAAGGCUACCAUCAUCUUGAAACAACCAGGUCACACCUCCUCUAAAUUUCUGCACCUUGGGGUCAACCUCACUGUUCAACCAAGGGGUACAAGGAUUGUAGGGAUUGCAUAUCUGAGCUUUGGCCAAAACCCAUCCAAGUUCCUAUGGACCUCGACGACCCACAUGUUGCCUAACUUGGCCCUCCACCGAAGCCAUAACAUCUACUCGUUCGAGAAAAUAUUGGUGAUUUUGAGGAUUGGGAACCUUAUAACCUUAAGGAUUGGAAACCUUACCAUUCAAAAGCUCUUGAGGAAUGAGAAGCUUAUCCACCAUCACCGCUAAGCACCAAUCUUCGGCACAUGAUGUUAGAUGUAUGCCCUAGAAGCCAAUAUAGAAAUGGAAUAUUCUAAGGAUAUAAUAUAAUUAAUAUAAUCAAAGGGUCAUGAAUGUUACUCUAAGGUACAUAAUGUACACAAAGUAACAACUCCAUGGAUAAAGAUAUGAAUGGAAAGAAGUCUAAAAAAGUUUGAUUCACAAGAACUUUUCAUAGGAUCACCAAUUGGACAAUGGUAAUCCGCAACGACUAGUACACACAAUGUUUGCUCAAUUAUGAGGAUGACUAGUCUCAAGUCAUUUGUGUAGAGACACUGAGACAGGUGUGUAGGUGCUCUAUAGAGAUGAAGUUCACUGAAUGCGAUCAACUCAAGAAUUCUUGUAUGGAAGUCUUACUCAAAAGUGUCAAACAAAGAAUUCUAAGUUGUGAUAAUGCAAAUUAGUCCUUAUACCUAAGACAUCAUAGUUGUCUUGUGUAUGAGCUGUUAGUUUGUUUAGAACACUAUACAGUUGUAUCAAAAGGAUGUGACUUAAAGAUGUUCUUUAGGAUGCUCAGCAUAUGCACAUAGGCAUGUGAAUGUACAAUAAGGAAUUUCUACUCUUAGUAAAAAGAUAGAAUACUCUAAAGAUAUGAUUCGUUGAAUCUUUGGCCAAAGUACAGGAUGAGAAUUGAAAUAAGAACGUUUGCAAUGACAACCAAGUGAAUCAUAGAACCUAAAGAUGUCAUUUUAGGGAUUUGACACAAGUUAACCUUAUUCUAACAACACGACAUGGAGUAUUAUAAUAAGAGAAUGACCAAAUUACAUUGUAAUCACAAACUGACUAGGUUCUCUAAAUUAAUAGUAUUUACCUUGCGUAGCCAUGACUUUCUGCUAAGUGUCACUCAUGGUUUGUGGAACCCUUUUAAGGACUAAUUACAAUUAGUCUUCGCCAAUAGGGAGAAUUGUAUAGAGGGAUACUAUUGACAUUCGAUUUAUAAGUAAUCAUUCUUACCCACAGCCUCGCUAAUUAGAAGUUAAAAGAUCGCACACUGAAAAUGUAUGGAUCAAGAAUUGAAAAGAUAAUAAAUGAUUUUGAGGCUUGGUCAAAGUCAAAGUCAAGGUCAAAGUCAAAAUUCAAAUUAAAAGGUCAAACUGUUGACCUGAGACUUGAUGCAGUCAACACAAGAUUGACUAGGACCAAUGCUUGUUAGACAAGUUAGUGAUUUAAUUAGUUAAGUCAUUAAAUCAAUUAAACUAAUUAGAUUAGCUUGAAAAUUAAUUAAAGUUAUGGAACUUUAGUUUUGGUCCUAUAUGACUUAAACAUUUAUAAGAAAAUGGACCUUAUAGACUUAGACAAAGUGUGACACAUUAUAAGAACCAAAGUAGCCUAAAAAGGCCCAGGAAGAGGAGGGUGUGGCACAUGGUUCUUUAGUGGCACAUGUAUGACAUUAUGUCUCUAUAUAAUCAUAGUCAUAGCACAACACCUUCUUAGGGUUUCAAGUUAGGCAUUUAGGAAGAGACACAUAUCAAGCCUCCUUCCUAGCCUCCCUUGGCCGACCACCAUAAAGAAGAAAAAGUUAGCACCCAUUUUUCUUCUCUUGGUUCUUUAUUGUUGGUGUGAUAAUUAGGUUUAGGGUUUAUUAUUUAAUAUAGUUGACUUUGUAUAAUUACCUUUUUUUGUAUACUUUGUACAUAUUAUAAAUAACUCAGAAUGAGAAGAAUAAAAUCAUUCGAUUCAUUCAUAUUUCUAGAUGGUAUCAGAGCAAUCGAUCUGAUUGGCUCACCUGUGAUUUGAAACCCCAAUUAAAAAAAAAUCCCUAAACCACUCUCUAACGUCGUCGCACCUCUCUAGCGUUGUUUACCCUACCUCUAUGUUGCCGCAACCUUCUAAACUUUCAUCAAGAGUAUACUGAUCUUGGUGUUGUUACCUCUCUCCCUAAACACAAAACCCAAUUCCACUGCCAAUAUGCCUACUCUUCCUAGUGAAACUAAUCCUUUCGCGCCCUUACCAGGGACACCCAGUGUUACCAUUCAACAAGACGUUGCUUCCUCUCCCAUCAACGUCAAACUAGAUGGAACAAUUAUAGCCUCUAGUCCAAGGUUUUAGAGAUGCAUAUCGCUGCCCAUAACCAUACUGCACCCAACAGUUCUGAUUAGAAGUAUGAAGAAUGGGUGGCCGAGGAUGCCUUACUGAAGUUAUGGCUCAUCAACUCCAUGCAUACCAAUCUCAUGUUGAACUUUAUUCAAUGUGAAACUGUGAAGGAUGUGUGGGAUACGGUGAAGAAGGCCUAUCAUGAUGCUUUUGCCUGUUUUCAAGUCUAUGAAUUGAUGAAAAAGUCCUUUUAACUUUGACAAAGUGGUCGGCCCUUAUCCACUUAUCUUAUUGAGAUGAAUUGUCUCUUUAUGGAAUUGGACUAUCGUCCUCUAACUGAUCUUAAGAAUCCAUAUGAUAUUGCUAAAUUAAAGAAACGCACUUCUGAAGAACGUGUCUACAUGUUUCUUGCUGGUCUGGAUCACAAUCUUGACCAAGUGUGUAGUUGUGUGUUGGCUAUUAUACCUCUUCCCGAUCAUACUGAGGAUUAAGCCAUGGUGUGUCGGAGGCCCAAAGACAAGUUACUAUGACUGCUGAGGGUUUCACUGAAGCAUCAUCUCUUGCAGCCAAGAAGGGCAUAUUGAGAAUGGUUCAAACUGAAACAAGUUGCCCGCUAGGAUAAACAGAAAUCCCAACCACAUUUAGUCUCAUCGGACUCAACCCCAAUAGCCACUACCUCUCAGGUUUAUUAUUCCUCAACAAUUACAUGUAAUAUCGGUUGUGCAUUCUCUUUUACCUCUACACGGCCUUGGAUCAUUGACAUUGGAGCCUCGGAUUACAUAACCAGUGACUUUUCUUGGUUUGUCACUUUCACUGCACCUCAUUGCAGCCCUGUUAAAGUUGCUAACGGUGCUCUAACUUCUGUUCAAGGAGCUGGUCCCUUAGUUUAACACCGCUCUGUCAUUGUCCUCUAUCCUAUAUGUCUUUUAUUUAUCCAACAAUUUGCUCUCAAUUCGUCAAAUUACCAAAUUUUUCUGUAACCAUCUUUCCCACUUAUUGUGUUUUUCAAGACCUUCCCACAAUGAUGCCGCUUGGAAUUGGUAAGGGGAGGGUUGAUCUCUAUUAUUUUGAAGAAACUUACUCUGCUAGCUUUGUGUUUCAAGUUGAUGGGGAUCAUAUACAUUGAAACCAGAGAAGAUUAUAUUAUGGCAUCGCUGUUUAGGACACCCAUCUUUCUUGUAUUUGGAACGCUUAUUUCCUAGUUUGUUUACUAAGGUUUUGAGUUCUAGUUUACGGUGUGAACAUUGCAUGUUGGCUAAGAAUCAUCAUGUUACUUUUCCAUCUUCCUCCAAUAAAAGUGAACAACCUUUUGAUAUUGUUAACACUGAUGUUUGAGGUCUGUUUUCUUCUCCUACUUCUGCUAAUGCCAAGUAGUUUGUGUCAUUUAUUGAUAAUUGCACUAAAGCUUGUUGGAUUUAUCUUAUGAUGCAGAAAAGUGAUGUGACUUGUAUACUUCUUAGAUUUUAUCAAAUGAUUUGUACCCAUUUUCGGGCUCAAGCUCAGGUGUUUUGAUAUGAUAAUAGGAAUGAGUACCUCAAUCAGACUCUUAUUGAUUUCUUCCAUCAACAUAGGAUUCUCCACUAGACGACAUGUGCCUCAACAAAAAGGGAUUGUAGAACGUAAGAAUCGUCAUCCACUUAAGGUGGCACGAUCCUUGUGUUGCACUAUGCAAGUUCUGAAAAAGUAUUGGGGUGAUGCUUUCAUGGCUGCUGCCUUUCUUAUUAAUCAGAUGCCCUAUCGUGUCUCUGAUUAUCACACUCCACUUCAGAUGACGUCUACCUUUCAUCUGAUCCAUGGUCUUAUUUCCUUGGAUCCUACGGUGUUUGUAUAUGUCUGUUAUGUUCAUCUUCACUCGAUCCACCGUGAAAAAUUGGAUCCAAGGGUUCUCAAGUGUGUUUUCUUGGGAUACUCUUCUACACUAAGAGGUUACAAGUGUUUUCAUCCACCCAUGAGCAAGUACUAUGUCUCCAUGGACAUUGAGUUUCAAGAACAUACUUCUUAUUUUUCUCAAGAUGUUCCCAAUUCUCUCCUUCAAGGGGAGCAUCCAGCUUGUGAAGGUGUGAAUUUGACGCACUUGGAGUUUAGUGAUUAUUUGAAAAAAGAUAUAUGAAAAAAAUAAUUAAAGAAGGAAGAAAAGUCAACAAACAAAACAAAAAAGGAAGAAGAAAGUGGUUGUGCUCCACUUUGCUUGAAUGUGCAUAUAGAUAAAAUAAAGGGUGUAGGCCAACAUGGAGGAAAGUAAAGAUGCUAACUAAAGGGGAAAAUGAGUAUAAAAAAAAAAUACACAAAGAAACAAGACUCACUGUGGGUUUCUACAAGAGUUUCAUAAUUAUCGGGUUGGCUUCAAUUGGCUACUGGGUACCAAAGCUUUUCUGAUAUGCACUCCUUGAUCAUGGGCUAAUUGAUAACAAAUAUCAAAGGCCCGAAACAAAUUAAUGGGUUGUCAAAAAUAUUGGCCCAUUAGUUCUCAAAAGCCCAAAAUAUUUAAUCGGUGAUCUAAAUAAUUACUCAUUAAAUUUACAGAGGCCCAAAUUGCAUAUUAUAUGGUUAAUGGAUUAAUUUUAAAAUCCUCAUAGCAAUAUUUGGGUCCAAAUGCAAAUGUCAAUUGUAGAAAAUUAAUGGGUUCAUCAAAAUUGCCCAUUGUUUUUCUUGGACAUUGACAAUAAGAAAAAUGGUACAAAACUAUCCAAUUUUUUCCCAUGGGUCAAUUUCAAUGAGAUUAAAUUCAAAUCUCUUAAACACAAAUUCUCAAUUAGUGGGCCACACUUACCCAUUCAUUUCCAAUUUUUCCCAUAGGUCAUCUACCUAUGAAAAUCUCCAAAUUGUCUCAAAGACACAAAUUCUAAAUUAUUGGGCCACACUUACCCAUUAAUUUUCAAAUUUUGGAACUACGCCGGUUUGAUCCCAUAAAUGGUACAUAGGCAGUCCAACAUCUCAAUAGAUGCAACCGCAACCAAAUUUGAAUCAUUGGUUAGGUCAACCAAAUUCCCACAAAUCAAAUAUCCAUCUUCACACAAAUCAAUUUGGAACUAUGCCAGAUUGAUCCCAUCAAGGGUACUUAGGCAGUCUACCAUAUCAAUAAAUGCAACCGCAACCAAAUGAGUAGGGUUCAGAAAAACUUUCGUCAUUGAUGAGAGCUUCAUCAAGUGCGUUGUUCCAAAGCCGAUUCAGAGGGCCAGGCCUCAGGUCACUCCUAAGGUCUUCAAGACCCAACUGAAGAAAACACCGUCCAAGAACGCUCUCCGAAAUGCAAGAAAGAGGUCUACGCGUGCUCUGAGGAAGAAAGAAGCAAAGAGGUAGUCUAUUGAGGCAAUCUUAUCCGAGCUUUCUAGGACAAGUUCAAUGGUGACCGUAAGCGAGAAUAUCUCAAACACCUUAAUUGUGCCUACUCCAAAGAAGAGUCAUACCACCUGAUUUGUGCAAAUCAUGAUUGGAUCAAUCCCGAUCAACUUGUAUCCUACAGAUUCAAUCCUAAUGACUUCCACCGACGAAACUAGUGAAGAAAGUCAAAAGGAUGACUCUCAUGAAAACACUAAGGUCCAAGGGGCCGAACCUCCAUCAAGAUCAAGAGCCCAUGUUGUGGAAUCCACAUCAUAAGAGGUUUACCCGUGCUCUUCUAAGGGUAAAAGCAAAGCCAUCAUCAUAAAAAGGAAGGUGGUGAACAUACCUCAUCUACAAAGGAAGCUCGUGCAAAAGGUAAAGGUAACUGAUGCUUUAAGGGAUCAAAUUCCCAUAUCACAAGGGGUAGUCCCAAAACCUCAAGAUCAGUCGAGGUCCUACAUGUGACCAUUAACUCGUUUGAAAUCUCGAGACAUGAUGGGGAUGAUUAUUCCCGAGUUAUCAGCUCUAAACUCAAUCCCGAGACAUGAUGGGGAUGAUUAUUCCCGAGACACUAGCACCUCAUGUUCUAGGGUAUCGAAAGCCCUUCCCUUCUCACUAUGACGUCAUCCCAUUCCUGAAGGGUUAUUAAAUGCCCAUGUUUGAUAAAUUUGAUGGCACAAAUAGCUCACCCCAUGAACAUCUGGCACUUUUUUAUUCAACAUGUGGUGAGACAUCCCAGUCAAACGCUCUCCUGAUGCAUCAAUUUUCCCAAUCCCUAAAAGGAUAAGCUUUUACUUAGUAUACACAACUACCACCAAACUCUAUCCUGACAUGGGACAACAUGCAAAAAGCAUUAUUGGCACAGUUUUUAGUUCUAAGAAGAAGUCUCGAUCAUGAACCUAUCUCAAACUCCCCAAAAGCCAGGGGAAAGUGUCAAUGACUUCAUAAUAAGAAGAAGUCUCUAUCACGGACCUAUCUCCAAUGCCCGAAGAAAAUUACUAAACAAUUAGCAGUUCAAAUGUGCUACAACAACCUCAUGCCAAACAUUGCAACUUUUGUUGCCAUUGCUGAACCAUAAUCAUUUGAUGCUUUGGUGUCAUAGGUGAGUAAUGUUGAAAGACAAAUUGCUCGCCAAAAGUCUGUGACUCAAAAAAUUCAAUUUGGGGAAAAGACAAAUGACAAGAAGUUGGCAAAGGGAGAGUCGUUGACCACUUUUGUCAAAACAUAAAAGAAAAAUAACAAAAGUCAAAGCAAAGACCUACCCAAAAGGCUCACUCUUAAAUGACGCAAAGAGGUCAAAUAUUCUUUUAAUGAUGAUGAUGUAGAAGAAAUAUUUGACCACCUUCUUGCCUCCAAUACUAUUACCCUGCCAGAAUCAAAGCGUCUGGUUGAGGCCAAUAAGACAAAUAACCCUAGUUAUUGUCGGUAUCAUCAUCUCAUCAAUCAUACACUCAAGGAUUGUUAUAUCCUGAAGGACAAAAUCCAAGAGCUCCUCAAUAAUGGUGGUUUGGAGAUAGACUCUUCUUUCCGACAUCAAUUAGCUACAGCAAAUAUGAUUGAGGAAAAGCUCACACCCACAUUUGAAUUACUAAAGGAAGUGAAAUUUGCAGGUAUUACUACUGAUAAUGGGGGUACAAUUGUAUAUGCCUAUCCAAAGGCAUCACGGUCUAGUGAUCUUCAAAUUCCCACCAUUCAUGUGCUCAUAACUGCACCUAGUCUAGAGAUAUGGGAAGAUUCUUCCACCAACGAAUCUGUUGAGAGGUGGAAGACAUUGUUAAAAGAACCAAGCACAUGGCCAAACAUUUUCCACCCAAUCACAAAUCUAUUACUCAUCCUGGUGUCAAGAUUCGAGGCAUGCAGUCCUUGAAAAAUAAAAGGAAGAAGAAGAGGGUGCAAAAGAAUCCCUCAAGAAGAUGAAUAUGAGCAAUCCUCAUGGGUCCCUGUCACACUCACUGAGUUUUUGCAAGUUGAGUUCUUCUCCAAUGACUCCAAAGUUGAGGAAAAAAUUAUUCAAUGCAACAUGUUUUCUAUGGAGGAAUAUGUAGUUGACACAGAAGUUGAUGAGAUUAACCUCCGCUCUGGUCAAAGCAUCCCAUCUGUUGAUAAAGCACAAUAAAAUAAGGAAGAUGUUUCCUCUAAAAUCAAGAAGAAAGAAGUCAACGGCGAAAUAAAUUAAGGUCUCCUCAUCGAAAAAAAUUGUUGCAGGGGAAGUUCCGCCGUCCUCCUUAAAAGCAAAGGAUUUAAAGCUCGAUACUGGUAAAACAAAGGAGUCGUCACAAUCACAUGCACUUAAGUAUGAUAUUUUGGUUCAUCUUAAGUGCAUCCCUGCUCCUUUAUGUGUCUAUGACGCUUUACAAAUGUCGAGAAAGCUUAGGGAAGCACUUGUAAUGGCUUUAAUGAGCCCGGAUUUGUACAAGUCAUGUUUCAAAUCAACAGAUGUCCACACAACGAUUACUUUUAGUGAAGAUGACUUUUUACUUAUGUUCAAAUUCCAUAACCGACCUCUUUAUGUCGCUGGCGAAGUUAGAGGCAUGACCAUUAAUUGAAUCAUGUUAGAUUGUGGUUCGGCCGUGAAUCUUAUCCCAUUAAAGACGCUCCACGCUAUAGGGAUGAGUGCCUGACAUUUGUCUCCCUCUAUGCUGACUAUUUAAGGGUUCAACCCAUUCGGGCAAAGGGUCAUGGGCUCUAUUGCAUAUUCAUUGUUUGCCAGCAUAAGAUGAUUCACAGUUAGUCGUCAGACAGUUGAAUGGCCAAUACGUAGUCAGAAAUGCUACUCUCAUCCGAUACCAUGAAAUGGCAAUAUAUCUCAUGUCACAAUUCAAGACUUUCAUGUCAGUCACAUCCCGAGAUCAGAAAAUGAUAAAGCUGAUGCACUAGCUAAUUUGGCUGCAUCACUAAUGCUACCUGACGAAAGUGAUAUCCAAAUCACUAUUAGGGAACAUUAUUUACUACCUCAUAGCUAUAAAGAGAAUUGAAGAAGUUGUUGAUUCAAACGUCAUUACGGCUUCCGAAUGUGAGGAAAAACCAGAUGAUCUUGAUUGGCACCAUCCCAUAAUCGAGUAUCUCCAACAUGGUAAGUUGCCAAAUGACUCAAGAAAAAAGGUUGAAGUCCGAUGCAGGGCCACUCGGUUUCUGUAUUUAAAUGACACCUUGUACAAACAUUCAUUUGAUGGUAUGUUGUUAAAGUAUCUGUCGAAACAAGACGCAACUAAAGUCCUCUAUAAUACUCAUGCUGGCACUUGCGGUGCUCAUUAAGCCAAUCCAAAACUCUCAAAUCAACUAAAGGGAUAGGUUAUUACUGGCCAACAAUGGUCUAAGACUUGAUGGAAUUUGCAACUGCAUGUAAAGAUUGCCAAUUACAUGGAGACUUACACCAACCACCCCAACAAUUGAAACUGACAACUUUAUCUUGGCUAUUUGAAGCUUGGGGAUUGGAUGCUGUGGGUAUCAUAAAGCCUAAGUCAUCAUGUCAACAUUAAUACAUCUUGGCCGCGACCGAUUACUUCUCUAAAUGGGCUGAAGAAAUUCCUUUAAAGGAGGCACGAGCAGACGAUGUUACAAACUUCAUAAGGAACCACAUCAUCGACUAUUAUGGGGUUUCAUCAAAGAUAAUAUCCGACAAUGCAUUGUAUUUCAAGUGCAAGUCCAUGACCAAGUUGUGCGAGAAGUAUAGGUUUCAACACUCGUUUUCUGUGAGUUACAAUUCGUAUUCAAACAGUCAAGCUGAAGCUUUCAAUAAGAUAUUGUACAAUAUCCUAAAGAAGAUGGUCUCAAGGAAUAAAAGAGACUGACAUGAACGCCUUCCUAAAGCAUUAUGGACUUAUAUGACAACCAUACACAACUCAACAGGAUGUACACCGUACAAUUUGGUGUUUGGCUCCGAGGCUGUUUUGUUGUUAGAAGUCCAAUUGCCAUCGUUAAGGGUAGCCUUACAGCUGAAAAACCCCGACGAAAACGCAAAUGUGAGACUGGCAAAACUGAAGCUCUCAAUGAGAAAAGACUUGGCUCGAAAUAUAUCAAGCUCAAGUUGCAGGGGCAUUCAACAGAAAAGUUAAGUUCAGAUCUCUCUCAACUGGAGAUUUGAUUUUAACUAUCUGAAGACUCUUUGUCAUUACCAGGAGAAUGCAUGGUAAGUUUGAACCAAGUGGGAGGGGCCCUACGCCAUUACUAAGGUUUUCUCCAAGGGUGCAUACGAGUUGCCAAACUCCGAAGGCAAGUACAUUUAUCCUUGUGUGAAUGGAAAAUUCGUCAAGAAGUUUUAUGCCUGAUGAUUAAAAAAAAAUGCUCAUUGGGCUGAAAACCCGAAAGGGCAGUCCAAGCAAAAAUUAGAGCUAACCCAAAAAAAAAAAAAAAAAAAACUUUGUGGGCUGAAAACCCAAAAGGGCAGCCCAAGCAAAGAACUACGGUUGACUUGAUCCCUCAAAAGGGGUACAUAGGCAGUCUAGUUCCCAAAAAAAUAGAUUAAGUCACAAGUCCCAAAAUCUCCUUUCAUCACCUCAAUUCAAAUAGGGUGAACUACGUUCUGCUUGAUCCCUUCACAGGGUACGUAGGCAAGCUACCCCAAAAGCUAGGUGCAGUCGUAAAUUAUCACAAAUUCAUUCUUGUCCAUUGAUAGUGUUAGCACGUGGUUAAACUGUUGUAUACUAUGCAAGAACUCUAACUUCACAUAAGUAUAAACUGGGAAAUAGGAAAGCAAAAUCCUACAAAAUCUUUAUUUUAAAAAUUGUUCUUGGUUGAAAAACCACAUUACAAGAGCAAAGAAUACUGAAACGAAGGCCUAUCUAUGAAUUCUUGGUGGAUGAACCAUACUACAAGAACACUUAUUAAAGGGAAAAAGCAUGCUAAACAAAAAUAAUAACAAUAGGCUCAUCUCAUAGAGCUCGCUACAAGAAAAAAACAGGGCAUUAAUCAGACGGUGGAUCUCUUGCUCUUGAGCCUUCAUUGACCGUUGAGCGCUCCCAAUUUGGGGAAGUAGAUCUUCUUUAGCAUCAAUUCUUGAUUGUGGAAGUUGUGUUGCUUGUUCAUUCUGAUGCUCCAAAGAAAUCUCCAAGAUCAUCUUUUGCAUAAUAAGGGAAGUUUUCUUAACUUCAUGCUCUUCCCGCACCUGGUGAACUCUCUCUUCUACUUCCCUGAUGGUAGCUUCCUUGACAUCCAAGUCUUCAAUCUUUUUAGCAACCUCUGUAAGUUGUCUCAAGAGCCAGCUUGGUGUUUAAACAUUCCUCAUGUUGACGGAUCAAAUCCUGAAUCACAUUAACAUUCACAUCUCCUAAGGCUUCAAUAUAGGCACUACUCUUGAAAUGUCGCCUAGCAAUCUCAAAAAUCCAGUCCCACGAAUGUCAACUAUUGACCCCAAAAGUUGAAGGGCCUUGAUGAUCUCGGAAUGGUACAUAUGAAGUUGAGCAGGUGUUUCUGAGGAGGAAAGUCGGCUAAAGAUACCUUCAAUUUCUCUGCUGAUAAACUCCCGCCUACUCUAGUUCACUCAAUUCCCAAGAAUCUGACAAACAAAAUUCUCGACUAAUAUGGGCCCUACACCUUCAGAAAUUUGAUCAUUAGCUGGGCUAUUCUGAACUUGUUGAAAUUCAGAUUCUUCAACUAGGGGGUCAGACCCACUAUCACCCAUGUUAGAGUUAGCACUCUCAUGAAGAAUGCUUUCCUCUUUAUCUAAAGAAAUGAACUCAAAAGCUGGGUUAUCAGCAUUAAUAGGCUCCAUUUUGAGAGGGAAAGAGACGUCAUCAAAUCUCAUUUCCCCUUGCACCGGAUUAGAACUCUCUUCAUCGGGUACAUGGCUAGAGCUUCCAACCUCAACCUUGUUGUGAUCUUCAUGAUGUGCUCGUUUAAGGUGUGAGUCUCGAUUAACCCUUUAGGAGUGGUGCAUCAUGUGAUUAACCUCUGAGAAAGGUUGCCCUCUAGCAUUGCGAAUUCUCUUCUUGUGUCUUCUGCUCGAAGAAGCACCAUAAGGAGGUGAAAAUGAAUUGAAGCCUCUUUUGCCCAUGCUUGUCAAGAUACGUUUCAAAUUAUCAGUCACAAAGACGUGGUCCCUCCUUUGGAAGUGCCUGUCUACAACUGAGAAAUUUUUUGACAGAAAAACCCCAUGUAAGGUGCACAGGCAGUCAUCUACCAUCUACAAUACCACCAAGAGUACUCCGCUAUGCAGAUAAAGUGUGGAAUAUAGAAACGCGUUGUUGGAUCCUUGCGAAGGAGGACAGCUUGUGCUCUCGCCAAUUUUUCAAUCCCACACCGCUAUCUCUCACAGACGCUAAAUAGAAAUUUGUUUGCUGGAACUCCUUGGUCAAAACCAACUAGCGAGAAAAUUUGUUUGGGUAAUAAGGUUCCAACCAAAUGUGGCCACCCACCCUUGCAGGAAGUAAUGCAGAGCACAUGCAAAUCAAGUACUCAAAAGUAUCAUCUGCUAGUGUCUCUGUUUCUAAAAGCAUACAAUCUUCAUGUGCAACGAAGACACUAGGGGGAUAAACCACAAAAUCACUCCUGAAGAUUAUUCUAGCUCGAGUGGGGUCAACAUAUUUGGCCUCGAUUUGGCUAUACCUAGCAAGAAGAAGGUAAUAUUCUGGAAAGUCGUUAUCACAUCAACGUGUAGUCUAGUCAGGAAAAUGCUAGUCUAACAGUCCAAGCACAUAGUGAAUGGGAAGACAUGCGUUUGCUAAACCAGGACCUCUAGGGUGAGUAGCAACUGUACCAAGAGCAUGGUAAAUAACACCUAAUACCACUGGAGCAAGUGAAACUUUGAGCCCAUAAGCCAUCAAACUUUCCAUAUAGAAGCACUCGGCCUUAUGGCCUUGCCAGUAGGCAUGAAAAAAUGGCUAAGCCAAAAAGCUAAGAAAUCAGCCAACUGAUUGUUUAGCAAUUACGUUCUUGCCAUUUCCAGUAGCACCAUAUACAGCUUCUCCUCGGAAAAAAUGCUCAACCCAAUGAUUGCAAAAGACUUGACCUUUCUUAUGGAAAAUGUAUAACUAUGCAUGGAUUCUCAAAAGUUCAACACUCAAAGGAUACAAAUCUUCACGACAUAAUUCUUCGUUUAGAGGGAUGAACUCUUCAUACUAGAGACCCAAAAUUGGUAACCCACCAAUAACUUUCAAGUCGUACAAAUAAAUGCCCAUUUUGCCAUUUCCUUGAUGGAAAAUGUCGGAUAGAGGCCCCCAUAACUCACAAAAUGCUCUCCAUACAUUAAAGCAACAAUCAUAAGAGUAACGGGAAACGGCCACUGCACCAAAAAUACUAGCUUGGUGGAAAAUAUCUCCAAAAUUGUGCAAGGUAGUUUCUGUCCAUUCCAUUACAAACUGUUGGAAGGUAGCUCAACCAUGAAACUUGAAAUUGCUCUCCCAUGCAAUUUGCUCACGAAGCAUCUUGUGCAAAGCCAGAUAAAAUUCAUCUUUGGGUAAAAACUCUUUGUCCCCAUCUAACGAGUUGUUUACUUUCGCCAAACGGUGAGCUUGAAAGUAAGCACAUCUUGCUUGGGAAACCUGAAUGACUCUAUCCUCUUCAUGAGGAUUAAACUUGAAAUGUCCACUACUCACGUGAUCAAAUACUGCACCAAGUCACAUGACUCUCAAGUGAUAAGGAGAGGUUGAUCGAGUUCAUAGGAAAAGAUCUCAUAUAUUCCGAGCCAGCCAUGUUUGCUUCUCCAUGCGCAUCGAGGGCAUGUUCUUGGAGAAGGUUCCAGUGUGCAUUCAUCACCUGAAAUUGAGAAUGCAAAAGGGAAUUAGUUCACAGUUUAAGACAUUACACACAUGAAGCUUGAGGGGGCAACUAUUGAGAUAAAAAAAUCGGCAAAAUAAAUUGCAUUAUUGUUCAAAUAAAAAUAAAAUGAUAAAUGCAAGCCAACAUAGGUUCCCAAAAAUUUUGGGACAUCUGUUAUGUUUCAAAUUGAUGGAUAUAAAAGAUAAUAAGCCUAAAAGGGAGGCUGAACCUGAUCAGCACUUAUUUGAAAUUCAAAAGUAUUGUUUGUUCAAGGGAGACAUAUCCAUUUGGCCUAUAAAAAAGGCUACAAUAGAAAAAAGAAAGAAAAAAAGAAAGAGGAAGCUGGCGACAGAUUAAAAAAGGAUGCUGCAGAAAUUAGAGCAGUGCAAAGAAGAGAAAAAAAAAAUUUGCUAUAGGUAUACUGUCAUCCCUAUUUUCUUUUCUAUGUUAGGCAUAGCAUGCCACAAAUCCAUGGGUGAAAAACCCCGAAAUUACUUGGAUGCAAAUCCAUGGAUGAGAAACCCUGAAAUUACUUGGAUGCAAAUCCAUGGAUGAGAAACCCUGAAAUUAUUUGAUGCAAAUCCAUGGGUGAGUAACCCCAAAAUUAUUUGGAUGCAAAUCCAUGGGUGAGUAAAAUCCGAAAUUAAUUGGAUGUAAAAAUCCAUGUGGGUGAGAAACCCAGAACCUCUGCAGAUGAAAGAAAUCUGGAAAAAAUGAGUUCAAAGAUCCAUGACAAUUAGCAAAUGAAAUGGGUCUUUACUUUCAUCCUGUUGUUUCUCCUUCUCUCUGCCUGAACCAGCUACAAAUGAAAAAUGAGAAGUUAAUUCUCUACCACCAAGUGCAGCAAGGGAAAAAAAUAGUUGAAGUAAAGUUAUUGGGGGUUUAUUCCCAUAGCAUAUGCAAAUAAAAAAGGGUUAUACCUCUGCCUUUGGAGAAUUUGAUCAACUCUCUCCCUCUCUGUUAAAAAACUAAUUUUCUCUGUGUCUGCACUGCUCUGAAACAAAAAAAAAAUAGAAAGAAAUUAGCAGUUUGCAUAUAGACAGAACCAAAAAAGAAGAAAGGUUUGAAUGAGCAGGUCCUGUUGCACAACCUACUCUUGUAUCAAUUCCUAGUUUGGUGUUUGUGUACAGACUGUCAAACAGACUGUCAAAACAAAAGGAGGACAGCCAUGGAAUCCCGAGUUAAACAAACCCAUUUGAAAAUGGAGAAGUGCAGCAAACAAUAUAAAAACAAAAUGGAGAAAUUGAUGACUGAAGCAUGAGCAUAGGAGUUCAGUCUCACAACAGGUGCAUAAUAAAAAUUGCAAUUUUGCUCAACUGUCUCUUCUUCUCUGUCUAGCAAAUCGCACAACCCUUUGGAAUGUGUUCUAAAUUUGUGUUAGUUCACAUACAAACAGAACAAAGAAAGGCAAAGAAAAAAAGGGGUUCCAUAGAAAGAAAGAAAGAAGGCUUGAAGGGGGCGAGGCCACAUUGCACAGACUUUGAAAUUGUGUUUGCAAACAGGCAAAACAAAAGAAUGGUUGUUGGUGUGUGAACCGGAAAGGAAAAAAAAAAUAUGAAAAUAAAAAUAGUUGGAGAAGGAAGAAAAGUCAACAAACAAAACAAAAGAGGAAGAAGAAAGUGGUUGUACGCCACUUUGCUUGAAUGUGCAUAUAGACAAAAUAAGGGGUGAAGGCCAACAUGGAGGAAAGUAAAGAUUCUAGCUAAAGGGCAAAACAAGUAUAAAAAAAAUUAAAGAAACAAAACUUGUUGUGGGUUUUCUCUCCCAGCUUGCUUCGCACCAGCAAACCUGUUUCGAAAUUUUGAUUUGAUCAUACGAAUAGCUAUUAUGAGAUAUUUGAGUUAAUCUCAAGUACUCCAGAUAAAUAUGGGAGUUGUAAAGCCUGGUUAUAUUUGGAAACAAACUCUACUAGAGUUUCAUAGUUAUCGGGUUGGCUUCAAUUGGUUGCUGGGUACCAAAGCUUUUCUGAUAUGGACUCCUUUGCUCGUGGGCUAAUUGAUAACAAAUAUCAAAGACCCGAAAUAAAUUAAUGGGUUGUCAAAAAUAUUGGCCCAUUAGUUCUGAAAAGCCCAAAAUAUUUAAUGGGUGAUCCAAAUAAUUACCCAUUAAAUUUACAGAUACCCAAAUUGCCUAUUAUAUGGUUAAUUGAUCAAUUUUAAAAUCCUCAUAGCCAUAUUUGGGUCCAAAUGCAAAUGUCAAUUGUAGAAAAUUAAUGGGUUCAUCAAAAUUGCCCAUUAUUUUUCUUGGACAUUGACAAUAAGAAAAAUGGUACAAAAUCAUCCUAUUUUUUCCCAUGGGGUCAUCUACCCAUGCAAAUCUCAAAAGGAUAAAAUUCAAAUCUCUCAAACACAAAUUCUUAAUUAGUGGGCCACACUUACCCAUUAAUUUUUAAUUUUUCCUAUAAGUCAUUUUCCUAUGAAAAUCUCCAAAUUGUCUUAAAGACACAAAUUCUAAAUUAUUGAGCCACACUUACCCAUUAAUUUUCAAAUUUUGGAAUGCCGGUUUGAUCUCAUCAAGGAUACGUAGGCAAUCUAGCAUCUUAAUAGACGCAACCGCAACCAAAUUUGAAUCACUGAUUACAUCAACCAAAUUCCCACAAAUCAAAUAUCCAUCUUCACACAAAUCAAUUUUGAACUACGCUGGUAUGAUCCCAUCAAGGGUACGUAGGCAGUCUACCAUAUCAAUAGACGCAACUGCAACCAAAUUUGAAUCCAUGGUUUACUUCUUUAACCAAAUUUGUCCCAAACACAAUUCCAUAUUGAAUCCCUGGUUUAUUUAGCUAAAUUCACUCAAACACUUCUUAAUACAAUUCAAAUCGAAUUUUUCUAGCAAUGAGUCAUUUAUUCAUUGCGAUUCUUUGAACUACAAGUGGCUUGAUUCCCGCAAGGAAUGCAUAGGCACCCUGAGGUUGGACUUGGGAGCAGCUGCAAAAUCAAAGGCACACAUUCUGUUUCUUUAUGAUGGAAUCAAAUGGUGUUCCCUUGAGGCAAGGGAUUGUAAUCAAGGGACAUUGUGUCUCGAACGGGUUGAACUUAAAAUUAUAAAACCCCAUUAUUUAAGUAGUGGUGGUAAAAUUAUGUUUGGAGGUUCACAUCUAUGCCGAUCGUGUAAGGGAGAGCCUCUCUUGUGACACGCACAUCCCUUACCGAUCGGUAGGCUCCGUGCCAAACUUGUAAGGGAGAAUCUCGCACAACUCUCCCUAUCGAUUCUUCAAGAUAUCACCAUCUAGGAAAUCAUUGGUUGUGGUCGUGGUACUAAGAGGGGAGGCUUACAUUAUGUGGAUGAUGUUAGCACAUGAAGGAGUUUAUCAAUAAAGGGAUUUGCUCAAGAUAAAGAAAAUCAUAUUUGGUUAUGGUAUCAUUGUUUAGGCCAUUAAUCUUUUGGUUAUCUGAAACAUUUAUUUCCAUAUUUAUUUUCAGAUUGUACCAUUUCGGAUUUCAUGUGUAACACUUGCAUUUUGGUUAAGAGUCACCUUUGUUACUUAUCCGCUAAGUUCUAAUAAAACCUAUGUCCCAUUUGCUUUGGUUUAUACUAAUGUUUGGGGUCCUGCCCUUGCUUCUACUGCUUCUGGAUAUUGGUGGUUUGUGAUCUUUAUGGAUGAUUUCACUCGUAUGAUGUGGUUAUAUUUCAUGAAAAUAAAGAGUGAUGUCUAUGAUUGAUUUCGUGUUUUUCAUAAAAUGGUACAAACUUAGUUUUAUGCUACUUUGAAGGUUAUUUUUUCUAACAAUGGAGGUGAAUAUGGCAAUUAGAUGUUACAAGCUUAUUUUUCAGGAUCAUGGUAUUAUUCACGAGAUAACUUGUCCUUAAACACCACAAUUGAAUGAAGUUACAAAAAGGAUAAAUAGCAGCUUCUGGAGAUAACUCGAGCCAGUCUCAUUGGUGCCCACAUGCACCUUACCUUCUAGGAGGAUGUUAUCACCUUUGUAGUAUAUCUCCUUAAUCGUGUCCCAACCAGUGUUUUGCAAUUUAAGACACCUUUGGAGAAACUAUCCGCCUAUGUUACACUCUCUUCUCAUUUGACCAUUGCUCCACAAGAUUUUGGGUGUAUUGUAUUUGUCCACCUUCAUAAAAAUUUGUGUACUAAACUUGACCCUUUUGCUUCGAAUUGUGUGUUUUUUGGCUACUUUCCACACCAAAAGGGUUAUAGGUGUUAUCAUCCACCUUCAUGGCGUUCUUUUGUCAUCAUGGAUGUUACUUUUUCAGAAAUACAGAUGUAUUUUGCCCAACAGUGUCCAAUUCUUCUCUUGAUGAGGAGAUUGUAAGUAUGGAAGAGCCGAAUUGGAUGAUUGUGCUACCAUAUUUAGUUGAUGUACCAUCAUCAAAUGUGACAAAAUCCGAGUUGAUAGCGGAUAGAAUACUAGACUCAUCGACUAUACCGGCGGUGACGCCAUCACUAUCUUAUGCAAACCUUUUGGCUUAUGAUGCUUACUUUCCGCUCCUCUACUCCUAUAGUACCCAAUCAUGAUAUUCCUCCUACUAGUAUUCUUAAGGUAAGUCAAGAAAAUCAAAUUAAUACUAAUAAUUCUACCAUUGAACAUAUACCUGCUAUACAAAAUUGCAGUGAUAUGUAUCAAUUACUACCAAUGGAUACCCGUGGGAAACCUCUAGAUAGGUACUCACCUGGUAAUUCUAAGCAGGAAAAAUAUCCAAUUGCAAAAUAUGUUUCUACUCAUCGACUAUCACCAUCCCAUGAGGCCUUUGUGAAUCAAAUGUCUGCAAUAACUAUCCCCACUAAAGUACAUGAUGCAUUGUGAGUUUCUAAAUGGGAUGAUGCAAUGACUGAAGAUAUGCGAGCUCUUGAGAAGAAUCAGAUAUUGGAAUUAAUAUUGUUGCCAAAGAGGAUGAAGCCAGUGGGAUGCAUAUGGGUAUUCACUAUUAAAUAUAAACCGGAUGGUACGGUGGACAAGUACAAGACCAGAUUAGUUGCAAGAGGAUUUACUCAAACUUAUGGUAUCGACUAUCAAGAAACAUUUGCACAUGUGGCAAAGAUAAAUAAUAUACUAGUUUUACUAUUACUAGUUGUAAAUCUUUACUAGCCCUUGCAGCAGUAUGAUGUGAAGAAUGCUUUCGUGUAUGAUGAUUUGUGUGAGGAAAUUUAUAUGAGUAUGCUACGUGGGUACAAAAUUUUGGGUAAGAUAGAUUUGGUGUGUAAGUUGAAGAAGGCCUUGUAUGGCUUGAAGUAUUCUCUGAGAGUGUGGCUUGGGAGAUUUAGCUUGGCCUUGAAGAAUUACGGGUAAUGCAGAUCAUACUUUUAUUUCUUAAAAGGCAAAAUGGUAAAGUAAUUGCACUCAUUAUAUAUGUAGAUGAUAUGAUUGUGAUAGGUGAUGACACUGAAGAAACUGGAAAGCUAAAAACUUAUUUGGCUUUUGAAUUUGAUACGAAAAACCUAGGAAGUUAAAAAUAUAUUUUGGGUAUUGAGGUUACUCGUUCCAAGCAGGGUAUAUUUCUAUCUCAAAAGAAAUAUGUUCUGGAUUUAUUGAAGGAAACUUGCACGCUGGAUUGUAAGCCAGUGAAUACACCUAUUGAACAGAAUCACGGCUUGGAAGAAUCUCCUUAUCAUACACCAGCAAACAAGGAGAGAUAUCAUAAGUAGGUUUGUAGAUUUAUUUAUCUGUUACGUACAAGACCUGACAUUGCUUAUGUAGUCAGUGUUGUGAGUCAAUUUAUGCAUAAUCCAAGUGAAAAUCAUGUGGAUGCAAUUAUGAGGAUUCUACAAUAUUUAAAGUCUGCGGGAAAGGUCUUAUGUUUUCUAGGCAUGGACAUGUGGAUAUUGCAGGAUAUACAGACUCCGAUUGAGGUGGGAAAGGAGUUAAAAGAAGGUCUACUUCUGGCUACUUCACAUUUAUGGGAGGUAAUAUAUUUACUUGGCAAAGUAAGAAACAGAAAGUUGCAACCUUGCCUAGUGCAGAGGCCGAAUACACAGCCAUGACUAAAGGCAUUUGUGAACUCUUAUGGUUGCGAAUACUCAUGGGGAGUUGGGAUUUGAGCCUAAAACUACCAUGAAGUUAUAUUGUGAUAAUUACUGAGCAACUAAGAUUGCAGAGAAUCUAGUACAACAUGAACGUACUGAACACAUGGAGAUUGAUCGUAAGUUCACAUAUGAGAAUCUGGAGGAAGAUAUUAUACAAAUUCUGCAUGUCAAGAUUAUUGAAUAGCUGGCAGAUAUUCUGAGAAAGGCGGUAUCAAGUCAAGCGCUUCAUGACUCACUUGUCAAGUUUGGCAUUGGAGAUAUCUAUGUUGUCACAUCCCGGGAUCGGCUCCGCCGUAGCACGAUAUUGUCCGCUUUGGGCCCCCCUCUCUGCCCUCACGGUUUUGUUUCUGGGAGCCCACGAGCAACUUCUGAGUAGGUCACCCAUCCUGGGAUUGCUCUAGCUCCCAACUCGCUUAACUUUGGAGUUCCCAUGACUCCGAAGCCAGUGAGCUCCCAAAAAGCCUUGUGCUAGAUGGAUGCAGGUGUGCACAUAUAAGGCACAUCACCCCCUCUCCGUUAGUUGAUGUGGGAUCUUACAUAUACGCCAUCUUGAGGGGGAGUGCUGAUACGAGUCCCUCCUAAAAUUAGGAGAUAAUUUUGUUAUUAAUUGUAAUUCCUUAUUAGAUGGGAUUGUUUUUAUUUUCCUAGUUGACUUAUGUAUAUUUGUAACCCUAUAAAUACCUCCUAAAGAGAAGAAUAAUAAAAUAUACAAAUUAUUCUUAACCUAUUUUUGCGUUAAUUGACCAUGACACAAUUUAUAAUGUAACUGUUCCUCCUCCCCUCUCCUCUCUUGUUCCCCUUUUCUUUUGGGUUAGUGAAUAAGUACCUUGGGGAUUUUUGACUAAGAAGUCCCUUGUGGUGGUUUCUUCUAAGCCAUGCUCAAAUCGAACUUCACCACUACCUCUUUUCGGCUAAUUCCUCAAUCAAAUUCCUCUCCCAAAACCCUCCCUCUAAAACUUUGCAUAUUCUCUAAAUUUAAUUAUACAUUGCAUUUGAAGGAGUUUGCUAGAGUUUACCGAAUUUUUUUCGCCAUGAUUUCGAUUGGCAUAUUUGUGCAUUGUUAUCUACAGUUUAAUAGAUGGAAACCAUGUUUAAUCCAAAUCCAUCACAUGUCUUGCAUUUUCUUGUAGUGACAGUAAUGUUCAUUUAGGCUUAUAAGUUGUUUAAGAGAAGUGGUUUAUGCGAUUUCUGUUUGUUUUAGUUUUUUAAUUUUAUUAGCGUGUUAAUGUUAUUGUUUUUUUGAGUUUGGUACUUUGAAUAUCAUAGUGAUGUCUUACUUCCAUUUUUUUUCAGGGUGUAAUGAAGUUGCUCUUUGAUUUAUUUUUAUUUUUUAAUUAUCAAAAUCUCGCAAUGGGCUUAAAGUUCUCUCUUGCAAAGUAUAUUUCGUUUUCUCAUCAAAACUGUUCCAAACCUUUUUGCAAUGAAGUUUAUCAUGGGAAAAUUUACCCAUUUUUUCUGGAUAUUUACUCGAAUCUUCCACUCAUCUUCUUUGUUUUGUGUUUUUCUUUUUCUUUGUGAGAACGCAAUCUUUAGUAAACGCCCAAAGACUGACAGAGAAACAGCAAGCGGCCCACAAGACAAGAUUGACCACGGACCAAGAAGGUCAAGCCCAAAUAGACUACAGAAGUCUUGUACGCAAAGGAGCAAAGAGGAAGGAAAAAAAAGAAAAGAAAAGGAGAACAGUCAAGCACGUGUUUUUUGUUUUUACUUUUUAUUUUUUAAAGGCUGUUAAUGGUUGUUGACGGCCGUUAAGUAAAUAAAUAGAGGUAAAUAAAUAAGGGUAAAUUAGUAAGUAGACGAGGUGGGGACACAAAGGAUGCGAACAGCAAAUAUGACCUCCCAAAUUAGUUGUCUCAUUCGUAUGUGGCAUUAACCCAAAUUAGGAAUUUAAAGGUCAGCAAGGCUAUUAUAGUAAAAUCUCGCUCCAUUAUGACUAAAUAUUAUUAUUUAAAGUAACAUAUCUAAUUGGUCAUUUGAACCUUCCAGGAAAGAGAGCUUUCCUUUCAGGUGCAUUUUUUCUAUUCUCAGGUGCUUGUUUUCCAUUUAAACGCUUUUUUUCCAUUUAAGCAAUUGUUUUCCAUUUCAGUGUUUGCUUUCUAUUUAGGGCACAGAUAUUUAUAACUCAAGUGAUUAAAAAGAUUCAAUUUAAUAUCGGAAAUCUUGUGUUAAAGUCUCUAUUUAAUAUCGCCCGUAUAAAAAGAAAAAAAAACAGCUAAUAAAGCCACUUUGGAUUUAUAAAGUUCGGGUAUCAUACCUAAAACGCUUCAAGCUUACAUAGACGGCUAGAUCGUGAAUAUCUAAUUCGACUUCGUACGUAGUAGAUACGAUCAUGCUGCCAUGCAUGUGAUUAUUUUUUUCUUAGUUUUAUUUUGAAUUAAUAGAGAGAGAUGAUUCAACGUUGCGAUACCUUUCAACAUUUGAAAAAUAAAUACUAUUAAACAAAUAGUUAUGUAAUUUUUGUUCUUUCUUUAAACUUAAACAAUAUAGAUGAUUCGUAAUUAUUGACGUAAUAAAUGAUUACAUAGAAGAAAAUCUAAUACUCAUAUUGCACGUAUGUUACAACAAAUGAAUACUAAAAUCAUUAAAAACGUCUGAUACGCUGUGCUAAACUCCAUCACUCUCUGAUUGUGAUGAGUUUCGCAUAAUAAUUUGCGGAAUCCAUAAAUAAUAGCUAAAAACUGCUUGACCAAAUAUAAAAAUACCUACGAAUUGACCAAAAUGGUGGGAUGUAACGCACGUUUGGUGAAGCAGCAGUGACUUCAGGUUGAGAAAAAGUGUGGAAGCAAAUCUCACUGCGAUAAAAGAGUCUUCCGUAUCCAAACGCCAAAAAGGUUACCCACGUCUUAACCACGGUUAAAACGUCACCUAACCCUAGUUAAAUAGGCCACCUUCCAAAUUAAAAAGUUACUGUUGUUGCUACAUAUCCUUCUUGUCCCUGCAAACCCACCACCGUUCUUAUCUUUUCUCUUCCGUUUAUAAAAGCUCGGAAAACCCACUAAUAAACACUCUCUCUCUGUCUAUCUGUCUCUCUCUCUCUCUCUUCUGACCAGAAAAAGAAAAAAAACCUCUCUCUCUCUCCGAGCAAUCAGAGAGUGCUGGAGGAGCUUGAUGGUACCUUCAUUUUCUGCUUCUUUUAUUUAAAAAAGUACUUGUUUCAUUUCUUAUUGUUCAUGGCUGCUGAAUUUUGUAAAAAUAUAUAUUUUUUCCUCAAUCUUUUGAUGUUUCAUGGUUUUUGAUGGUUGAUCUGCUUGCUGUUUUGUAUCUGAUAUGCGUCACUGUCUGGAGUUGUUUCUAUUACUCAUUUGUAAAAGUAUGUAAUAGUUUGUGUCUGCGUUUUGUUUGAUAUGCCUGUUGUUUCAUGGUAAAUAUAUAUAUAUGUGUUUUUUUUUUCUAUAUGAUUUUUUAUUUUUGCGUUUUUUUCUUUUAAUUUCUUGUAUAAGAAUUUAAGUUUUAUAUGUUUGGAUCUGGCUGGACAGAUAGGUUUAGCCUUUUGAUCCAAAAGAUGGCUACCCUGAAUUUCCGGAUUUAUAUUGAAUUAUGAAAAAGAAUUAAUAAAUGAAUUAUGUUGCUUACAUAGGUGGAAAAUUUGCUGUAAACCUGCGUUAUAAGCUAUAGCCGUUUGUGUAAACUGAAAACAAUAAAUUAAAUAAAACCUGAAACUUGGUCCUGUCAAUACUUAAUGAUAACGUGUAAUUGUGAAGAAAAUGAAUUUGAGUAACAUGUAAUUGUGAAGAAAAUGAAUCUGAGUGUUCGUAGAUCUGGGGGUGCUUGGCUCUGUUCUCUCUGCUUUAGUGGUUCACAUUUGCAAGGUAUUUACGUGUCACUUAAAUUUGGUUUUUAUAGCGAUUAUCUCAUGUUUUUUGUGUCACUGAUGGACACUUUUCCCUUUUUGUUUUUCUCUUUUUUCUCGGUUUUUCGAGAACCUCAUCAUUUUUUGCUUUUCGUGGCUUAGAGCCUUGGAUUUGUUUUGUUUCGUUUUGAAUGUGAAAAAUAAGGAAACCCAUUGUGAUCUUUUGUUGAUUUCAUGCAUUUAAUUUAUGGUUCUUUUGUAAGUGGUUCUGACUUGUUUAGCGUAUUACCUUUUAUGUUUGUAAUUACUUGUAGUUAAUGAAAUUAUGUACCUUACCUUGUAUUUUCUUCCAUUAGAUGAAAGUUGUUAUUGCUAGUUCAAUGUACCUGAUCUAUGAUAUACUAAUUGUGGGUUUAACUAACUUAUUUGUUAUUUAUUUCAUUGGCAGAAUAUUGAAUUUCAUUUACUCUUCGCGGAGAAUCCAUCGUAGACUGCGUUGAUUACCCUUUCUUUCAUAUAUAUUUAUAUACCAUAAAUAUAUCAUCAGGGUUGUUCUUCGUGCCGGUGCUAAAUGGGGAUCUUUGAGGAAAUGGGUUUCUGUGGUGAGCUUGACUUUCUUUCGACUACCUCUGGGGAAGGUGACGGCGACGGCGUCGACGCAGCUCCAGAACAUGAACCAGAGGCAACAGUAGAGGAGGAUUAUAGUGAUGAAGAAAUGGAUGUUGACGAGCUUGAGAAGAGGAUGUGGAGAGAUCGAAUGCUAUUGAAGAAGCUGAAAGAACAAAAUAAGGGAAAGGAAAGAGUUGACAAUGCAAGGCAGCGUCAAUCACAGGAACAAGCUCGGAGGAAGAAGAUGUCACGGGCACAAGACGGAAUCCUGAAAUAUAUGCUGAAAAUGAUGGAAGUUUGCAAAGCUCAGGGUUUCGUUUAUGGGAUUAUCCCUGAAAAAGGAAAACCAGUGAGUGGUGCUUCUGACAAUCUCCGAGCAUGGUGGAAAGAAAAAGUAAGAUUUGAUCGUAAUGGCCCAGCUGCAAUUUCCAAGUAUCAGGCAGAUCAUUCAAUCCUUGGGAAGGAUGAAGACUGGAGUGGAGUGGCAUCAACUCCUCACACCUUGCAGGAGCUCCAAGACACCACUCUUGGUUCACUUUUGUCUGCACUGAUGCAGCACUGUGAUCCACCCCAAAGACGUUUCCCAUUGGAGAAGGGUGUUGCCCCACCUUGGUGGCCUACUGGUAAUGAGGUAUGGUGGCCUCAAUUGAAUCUGCCCAAGGAUCAGGGUCCUCCUCCAUACAAGAAGCCUCAUGAUCUGAAGAAGGCGUGGAAGGUUGGCGUUCUCACGGCUGUGAUAAAGCACAUGUCACCAGAUAUUGCCAAGAUCCGCAAGCUUGUUCGUCAGUCUAAAUGUCUGCAGGACAAAAUGACUGCUAAGGAGAGCGCCACUUGGCUAGCCAUUAUAAACCAGGAGGAAGCUUUGGCCCGGAGUUUGUAUCCUGAUAGAUGUCCUCCU
rnacentral:lncRNA from 1 species